AUUGAACGCUGGCGGCAGGCUUAACACAUGCAAGUCGAGCGGGGGAAGGUAGCUUGCUACCGGACCUAGCGGCGGACGGGUGAGUAAUGCUUAGGAAUCUGCCUAUUAGUGGGGGACAACAUCUCGAAAGGGAUGCUAAUACCGCAUACGUCCUACGGGAGAAAGCAGGGGAUCUUCGGACCUUGCGCUAAUAGAUGAGCCUAAGUCGGAUUAGCUAGUUGGUGGGGUAAAGGCCUACCAAGGCGACGAUCUGUAGCGGGUCUGAGAGGAUGAGCCGCCACACUGGGACUGAGACACGGCACAGACUCCUACGGGAGGCAGCAGUGGGGAAUAUUGGACAAUGGGGGGAACCCUGAUCCAGCCAUGCCGCGUGUGUGAAGAAGGCCUUAUGGUUGUAAAGCACUUUAAGCGAGGAGGAGGCUACUUUAGUUAAUACCUAGAGAUAGUGGACGUUACUCGCAGAAUAAGCACCGGCUAACUCUGUGCCAGCCGCCGCCGUAA
rnacentral:rRNA from 1 species